UACGAAGGGGACUAGCGUUGUUCGGAAUCACUGGGCGUAAAGGGUGCGUAGGCGGGUCUUUAAGUCAGGGGUGAAAUCCUGGAGCUCAACUCCAGAACUGCCUUUGAUACUGAAGAUCUUGAGUUCGGGAGAGGUGAGUGGAACUGCGAGUGUAGAGGUGAAAUUCGUAGAUAUUCGCAAGAACACCAGUGGCGAAGGCGGCUCACUGGCCCGAUACUGACGCUGAGGCACGAAAGCGUGGGGAGCAAACAGG
rnacentral:rRNA from 1 species